GUUCAGACCGGACUGUUGCUCCGAAGCGAGUGGAGGUCGUUUCUUCAGCACGUUCGGCAGUUUACAAAAAAAAAAAAAGAGACUGCGCGAAUAGAGGAGGGCGUACGAGUGUGCGGCGACGAGGAGGAUUCGUUGUAUCGAAUAAAUCCAACUGCCCGUUGUUUACGGCAACACGUUGUCACUCGUAACCGUCACCUUCGCUUCUCGGGAAUAAUAAACAUCUUGUUACAUUCUCAUCAAUCGAGUUUUGCGAUUUGUAGUUGAACCGUCGUGCGGAAACUAUCGUUUAUUUUGUAUUAAAAUUUUUGCGUGCUGUGAUUAAGGCGGUUUGUUUUUAAAACGAUUUUGUACUUACAUGCAAACUUCGCUUAAAGUGUUUCGCAGUUUAUGGGGAAAACAUUCGUCGACAAGGAGAAGCCGAUUGUUUUAAAACUUAUAUGUUCUUAAAACCUUUCUACGUCGCUCUCGAUAACUUGAUAUCGUGAUCUUUAACUUAACAUACAUGUAUAAAAUAUAAACCUUCAGUGAAGUGUAUUCUUAUUGAUUAUUGAUUAUCGGUGCAGCGUUGUUUUUACUGUAAAAACUGUACUUGGAUUCAGCUGCAGUGUUUAUUGUUGUUUUUGUGAGGCGGGUUAGUUCUUUCUCCGCAGACGCAGAGUCACGACCGCAUGUAUAAACACAAGUGAGAAUAAGCGAGUAAGGAGAGAUAGGAGAAGAAGAACACGAGUGGUAUUGCUACUCUUGAAAGUUGCAUUGGUGCGCGAUAAAUCGUUGUACAAACUGAUUCGCGAGACGUGCAGUCCUUGUAAUUACUACUCGUCGAUGCUGUGCGGUCGUUAAAAACAUUCGAAGAUACGCCGAUCAAGUUAAUUCUCUCUGUCGGAAGAAUCACCGAGAGACGGUCGUUGCGCCGUCUCAAAUUCAAAACAAAGGAAAAUACACACCGAUGACCGUUACGGAUUGCAGAUUACAACCUGUAUGGUAAAUAGGAAAGAAAAUUGACCGAAGACUCGACGGUUUUCCAAACGCGUGUAAACGUGUCGCUGGCGUUAAAACGAAACUAUAUCAGUAGUGCGCCGAUGUUUCGAUUUCGGACAGUGAUCGCGGGAUCCGGCGCGUAGCGCAACGAGCGCGUCGCUAAUCGUUUGCGGAUUCGAACCGCGCGGGGCUUAGGAGGCACAACGAUAAUUGACCCCCGCUAGUUGACACAAAAGGCGGCAAGCUGUACGGGCACAGGGAGGACGACAUGCUGACGAUGGAGACGGACCUCAAGGGCGGCAGCCUCCACGGGCAAAUGCCUCCGCACCCACACCAGGGCGUCUCGCCCAUGGGUCACCACACCGGGGUGUCGCCCUACGGAGCCCUCGGCUCUAUCGUCCACAGUCCAGCGCUGUCGGGCAGCCCUCCAACCGCCGGAGGCCUCGGGGGCCUUGGUCUACAGCAUCAUCAUCAGGCCUCGUCGCACCACUACGCGGCAAUGCAGUCCCAGCAACAACAGCAGCAGCAACAGCAGCAGCAACAACAGCAGCAGCAACAGCAGAGCAUGCACGCGCUGGCGAGUCAGCAAUCGGCGGCUCAGCAACAGCAGCAGCAGCAGGCGGCUCAGCAUCACGCGCAUCAGCAACAAGCGCCGCAGCACCAGCCGCCCAACAACAACAAUAAUACAAGCAAAAACAACAACAUCGAUCGAGUCAAGAGACCGAUGAACGCGUUCAUGGUCUGGUCGAGGGGUCAGCGGAGAAAAAUGGCCCAGGAAAAUCCGAAGAUGCACAAUUCGGAGAUAUCGAAGCGGCUCGGGGCCGAGUGGAAGCUGCUUAGCGAGACCGAAAAGCGACCGUUCAUCGACGAGGCGAAACGGCUGAGGGCCGUCCACAUGAAGGAACAUCCGGACUACAAGUACAGACCCCGCAGGAAGACAAAGACCCUUAUUAAGAAGGACAAGUUCCCGAUGGGCGGUGGCGUCCCAGGGGUAGGCGGCAUGCUAGGCGUCGAUCAGAGGAACGUGGCCGCCGGUGCCGGGCAGCAGACCCAGUUACCACGAGAUGUUUAUCAAAUGCCCAAUGGAUACAUGCCGAACGGAUACAUGAUGCAUGAUCCGGCGGUUACGUACCAGCAGCAUCCGUACGGUGGACACAUGGGCGCCGCUGCCGGCUACCCGAGGUACGACAUGGGACAUCACAUGGGGGGCGGAAGUCCCAGUCCAAUAAACAGCUACAUGAACGGUUACGGAGGAUACGGCGGGACCACCGUUCCCGGGGGCUCGCCUUCGCCCUAUCACCAGCCCCAACCCGGAUCGCAAAUGUCGAGCCACAGUCCGUCGGGCAGUAGUAUCAAAUCCGAGCCGACAAGCCCGGCGAGCGGCGGCAUCCACACGCCGACGCCGACCGGACCCUCGUCCACCGGGGCCCCGGUAAAGCGGGAGUACAUGGGCCAGCAGCAGGCCCCUCAGCCCCAGGGUGACCUACGGCAGAUGAUAUCGAUGUAUCUGCCACAGAGCGCGGAACAGGGUGUUCCUCAGCACGGUGGCAGCGUGUAUUCACCCGGGCCAUCGCCCGAUCCCCUGGCCCAGCACCAUUCGGGCGUACCGCCGCUAACUCACAUAUAUAACGCCGUGAAACUAGACGAGACGUAUCAGAGCCGAGUCCGAUUCUUCCGAUUGACGAAUACUUACGAAGACGAACGGGUACGUCGUGGACAGACGACGGCGAGCGGUCCAGAGUAGGAGCUAAUUAUCUCACGAAGCACAACCAAUGAGCUAACCACAGAAAAACUACCCUCGUAGGUUAGCUUAGAGAGGAUGGAUGAGCUAGCGAGCGAGCGAGUGAGGCCGAAGCGCAGAGACAAGGUGUGGGGGCUGCGGGACCAAAGACGAAAUGACCAAAAAUCGAGGCGACGAGGUCAGAAGCGUUUCCACGAACCACCUUCUUCGGAGAAGAUAACCAUUAAGAGUGUUGCGUUGUUUUCGAGGAAUGCCGGCCGCACUUGGGUCGAAAACACGGUUCGACAGGCAUGACGACAUGACGGGCCUUCGGGGGGGACGCUUGUGAUCUUGUAAACGAAAAUGCUCCCUCGGCCCCCACAUUUUACCUUUUUCCAUAAACAUACUUACAUCAGUCCGAAUCACAAACAGCCGUUCAAUAUACCUGUAUAAAAACAACAACAAUGAGAACAAGAACACAAACGUUGAACAAAAAACCGUGUCGAAAUUUCACUGGAAUGCAAGGAUGUAACGUUUACAUAACUUCGUACGUGUCGUUGUUAUUUAUAUAUAAUAUAUAUAUAUGUAUAUACGACGCCUCGGUGUUACCCGGAGACCAAUUUUACGUCUGCAGGGGAAUGCAUGGUGUUGGAAAGACUUUGAAAAACGUGGCGCGAUUGUCGUUGUAUUCGAGAAAUUUUGACACUCUCUGCCGUAAAAACGCUCGACGUUCCGAAUGAUUUUUGUAUGUCUAAAGUAAGAGAGAAGAAGAGGGGGAAAAAAAAUAAAGAUACGAAGAAGAAACUACUGACGGAAGUAUGCGAUCGAUCGAUCUGUCGAGGAGUGAAGAACCGCACGUUUCCGUUAGGAUUUUUAAUUCGCUCCUCGAACGAUUAUCCUUACAUAUACUCCUCUAUAGUUUGUAUGACAGAUGAAAUAUAAUUUUAAGUUAUACAAUCUAUAUAUUGGAAAGUGAUAAAAAUUAAUAACGUUUUCGAAAUUUCAAUUUUUAUCGUAAUAUCGCUAUGUAUACAUAUAUACAUGUAAACUAGAAAUUUCGAAAACCGUUUAACAAUCAUUG